GGCGGAGGAUGCAAGUGUUAUCCGGAAUCACUGGGCGUAAAGCGUCUGUAGGUGGUUUAAUAAGUCAACUGUUAAAUCUUGAGGCUCAACCUCAAAAUCGCAGUCGAAACUAUUAGGCUAGAGCAUAGUAGGGGUAAAGGGAAUUUCCAGUGGAGCGGUGAAAUGCGUAGAGAUUGGAAAGAACACCGAUGGCGAAGGCACUUUACUGGGCUAUUACUAACACUCAGAGACGAAAGCUAGGGUAGCAAAUGGG
rnacentral:rRNA from 1 species